GCAUGAACCACUGUGCCUGGCCUGAAUGUUUUCUUUUCUUCGAGACCGAGUCUUACUGUUGCCCAGGUUAGAGUGCAAUGGCACAGUCUCAGCUCACUGCAACCUCCGCCUCCUGGGUUCAGUUGACUUUCCUGCCUCAGCCCCCCGGAGAAGCUGGGAUUACAGGUGCCCGCCACCACACCCAGCUAAUUUUGUAUUUUUAGUAGAGAUGGGUUUCACCAUGUUGGCCAGGCCAGCCUCAAACUCCUGACCUCAGGUGAUCCACCCGCAUCGGCUUCUCAAAGUGCUGGGAUUACAGGCAUGAGCCACUGCGCCCAGCUGAAUUUUGUUUGUUUGUUUGUUUGUUUAUUUUGAGAUGGAGUCUCGCUCUGUUACCCAGGAUGGAGUGUAGUGACGCGAUCUUGGCUCACUCCAACCUCUGCUUCCCAGGUUUAAGGGAUUCUCAUGCCUCAGCCUCCUGAGUAGCUGGAUCUACAGGCACAUGCCACCACGCCCAGCUAGGUUUUUUUGGUAGAGACGGGGUUUCACCCUGUUGGCCAGGCUGGUCUCAAACUCCUGCCCUCAAGUGAUCCGCCUACCUUGGCCUCCCAAAGUGCUGGGAUUAUAGGUGUGAGCCACCGCACCAGGCUUAUUUUUUAUUUUUAUUUUUUUUAGAAACAGGGUCUUACUCUGUCAUCUAGGCUGGAGUGUAGUGGCAUGAUCAUAGCUCACUGCAACCUCAAACUCCUGAGCUCAAGGUAUCCUCUGUCUCAGCCUCCCAAGUAGCUGAGACUACAGGAAUGUGCCACCAAGCUGGCUAUUUAUUUUAUUUUCUGUAGAACCAAAAAAGGUCUCACUAUGUUCCCUAGGCUGGUCUCGAACUCGUGGCCUCAAGCAAUCCUCCCACCUCAGCCUCCCAAGCACUGGGAUUACAGCACUAUAGGUUUUAAAAGGCAGUGUUCCCAUAAGAAAUAAUGGCAAAGAAAGGAACUCCCAGUCACAUUCAGCAAACCUGUUUUCCCAGCUACAUUCAUGCACUGGUUGAUGCAGGUAAGUGUACAGGGGAGGUUGAUGGAGAGAUAGGAGGGUCCUGGAAACAAAGGAAGACUGUGACAUUAGAUGACUGCAAUCGUGGAGACUCAGAUGGUGCUUGUACUACCACGGUUCAUCUUUUGAGUAUGGGCAUGUCAUAGUCUGGACCAGAAUCUAAAUUCUAGUAGCAAAGCAGGUAGGGUGGUUAUUGCAUAAGGAGGUAUCACAACCUGUCAUUUGGGGAGGGUGAGGGAAGGACUGGCUGUCACAGCUUAGCCUCACCAAGGACGUAUGUGUAGUGCCCUCUGGUGGCCUGCAAUGGCACGCAAGCCAGCCAAAUCAGAAUCCCCCAUCUCUCACCCCCCACACCCCCACCCUCCUCCCAGCCACCCCCAUCUCAGGCAAGACAAAGCCAGAGUCCUAACUGGUCUCCCUGCUUCCACUCCUGUCCACCAGAAUGAUUUGUUAAGAUCAUCAGAUCAUGUCACUCCUCUGCUCAAAAUUCAGGGUAAUUUCCCUUCUCCCUGAGUUAUUUAGCCACAGUACUCACAGUGGUCUCCAUGGCUGUACUCGGUAUGGCGCCUCCCAGCAACCUUUCUGUCUCCACUUCCUGCCCCUCUUCCGGCUGCUCACCCUGCUGUAGCCACACCGGGCUGCCUGCUCUUCCUCUGCCAGCAUAACCCACCAAGCACACUCCCACCUCUGCAUUUGCUGUCUCCCCCACCUGGAAUGCACAGAUGACUCCUUCAUGUCCUUCAUAUAUGUGUCAAAUAUCACCACAUCAUCUUUUGCACUAAAUUAAAAAACAGCCCUCCUCCCAGCACACUAUAUCCCCUUUAGCUGGAUUCAUUUUUUGCCAUAGUAUUUAAUACCAUCUGACGUAUUACAUAUGUAUUUACAUAUAUAUAUGUGUGUGUGUAUUUAUAUUUAUUACCUAUCUCCUACUACUAAACUUUCUGCUUUUUUGAAAAAGCAGAAACUUUGUUUUGUUCCCAGUUGAAUCCCCAGGAUCUAGAACAGUGUCUAGCCUAUAGUAGGUGCUCAAAUAUAUAUGUUGGGGAAAUAAAUGAAUCAAGAUCUGAAUAAUGAGCAGGCAUUGUAUGACCUUCAUUGUUUCUUUCUUGAAUAUUAAGACACUAUCACAAAAAGGACAACUCUACAAAUAUAUAUAAAAUUCAUAAAAUUCCUAUUAUAUCCCAGCAGCUGGGGCAAAGAAAAAAAAAGAAAAAAAUUCCAGUAUAAUCCCAACAGUUUUUUUUUUCCCAACCACCCCAGAUACAUCAGACAGAUGGUAUACAUCUCUUCGUGACUCAAUCUGCUGAACGAUGCAACUGUCACAGUAUCCAACAGGCAGGGUCUUACUCUGUCACCUGGCCUGGAGUACAGUGGCACAAUCACGCUUCACUGCAGCCUCAACCUCCCUGGCUCAAGCGAUCUUCCUACCUCAGGCUUCCAAGUAGUUGGGACAGAUGAUGACAAGGGCUCAAGUGAUGACAGAUAGAAACCUGGGUCUGUGGAUGAUGGCAAAGAGGAGAGCUGCCCCACCAAGCCAAACAACUGUCCAAGACUACUAUGUGAACGGGAAAUAAACCUCUAUUUUGUUAAGGCAUUAUAUUUUAGUUUUGCUCAUGUUAAAAGAAUCACAAAUCCUUCAGAUCUAGAAAACAAAAGUAGAAUUCAUUUCUUGCUGGGCAAGGGAGAACUGCAAAGAUACAUGUAAUCCCUGUGAACAAAGUAAAAAAUAGGUUUAUAUGGGAUUUUAGGAAAAUAUAAGUGAUUGGUUUUGGCUCAAAGUGAGUAGGGUUAGUCACUGAUUAGAUAGGUUUCAAGAACAGGUGACCUAUUGAUGUAAGGUUUGAUGACUGCAGGUGAUUCAGCCCAAGACUGAUAUUGAUUCAUCUUAUAGUUUCCUGUGUAAAUGCCUGCAGACAUCAGCUAGGUUCUUCAGGCAAGAAUGGAAUUUUCUAUUGUCAUCUCCCAUUUUGCCCCUGCUUGACAGGUCAUGGAAGAGGCCAUUAAAUAUUGUCUAGAACAGUGGUGGGCAACUGUUUUUCUGUAAAGGGACAAAACGUAAAUAUUUUAGGUUCUGUGAGCCCUACUGACUCUAUCGUAACAACUUAACUCUGCUGCUGUCACACAAAAAUAGCACAAAUGAUUCGUAAAUGAAUAGGUGUGGCUGUGUUUCAAUAAAACGUUACUUAAAAAAACAAGUGGUGGGCCAGACUUAACUCAUUGGCCAUAGUUUGCUAGCCCCUGGUCUAGAACUCUAGAUGUAGUCCACUGACAUGGUUUUCCUUCGGGGGUGAAAUGGUGGCUGUGGUGAUCAUCAUGAUUUCAUUUUGUUUUUGAUUCAAGAUCAUCUGUUGCACCAUCUGAUGAGACAGCCAACACACAGUAGAGUUUAAAAUUCUGGACACCAGCUAGACAGUAUAUAAAUACAACAUUAAAAUAUAUGCCAG
rnacentral:lncRNA from 1 species